GAUGAACGCUGGCGGCGUGCUUAACACAUGCAAGUCGAACGAAGCACUCUGAUUACUUCGGUUUGAAGAGUGACUGAGUGGCGACGGUGAGUAACGCGUGGGUAACCUGCCUCAUACAGGGGGAUAACAGUUAGAAAUGGCUGCUAAUACCGCAUAAGCGCACAGUACCGCAUGGUACGGUGUGAAAAACUCCGGUGGUAACGGAUAGGGAUGCGUGACAUUAGAUAGUUGGGGGGUAACGGCUCACCAAGGCGACGAUCAGUAGCCGGCCUGAGAGGGUGACCGGCCACAUUGGGACUGAGACACGGCCCAAACUCCUACGGGAGGCAGCAGUGGGGAAUAUUGCACAAUGGGGGAAACCCUGAUGCAGCAACGCCGCGUGAGUGAAGAAGUAUUUCGGUAUGUAAAGCUCUAUCAGCAGGGAAGAAAAUGACGGUACCUGACUAAGAAGCCCCGGCUAACUACGUG
rnacentral:rRNA from 1 species